CUAGUUGACCAAAGUGCUUUCCAAGUUCAGAAUAUACAACAUAUAUACACGACUACAACAGUAGAAAAGGUAAAAAAUGUCACUACUCAAGGCCAAUGAAUAGAGAUGGGUUUUUAGGAAGGAUUUGAAAGUGUCAGCAGUCCAGGCAAUUCUUAUUUCAAAAGGGGUACCCAGGGCGUUGCCAAGCGACACCAAAGGGCCUUGACCAAAGCGUCAAUAUGUGACGAGUCGGGAGUGAGAAUGUGUUGUCCCUGGUAAUACUGUGCCAGGCCUAUACUUCUGCUAGCUUCACUGCCAGCUUCACUAUGUUAAUGAGUUUGCCAGUUAAGAACUUUCCGCUGUAUGAUCACAGAAAUGAAUGAGGUUACGUGAUGAUGGUGAUAUGUUGUCUAUAUACACUACUGUCUAUGUGCAUUCUGUCUGUUUUUAUUAUGUCUUUUUAAAUAAAUAACUAAAACCA